UACGGGGGGGGCAAGCGUUGUUCGGAAUUACUGGGCGUAAAGGGCUCGUAGGCGGCCACCUAAGUCAGACGUGAAAUCCCUCGGCUUAACCGGGGAACUGCGUCUGAUACUGGAUGGCUAGAGGUUGGGAGAGGGAUGCGGAAUUCCAGGUGUAGCGGUGAAAUGCGUAGAUAUCUGGAGGAACACCGGUGGCGAAGGCGGCAUCCUGGACCAAUUCUGACGCUGAGGAGCGAAAGCGUGGGGAGCGAACAGG
rnacentral:rRNA from 1 species